CUUUUAUUAUCAUGAUGAGGAUAAGCAAGAUCAGGCUGCUCAUGUUGAACUAAGAAAGUUUCAGAAUAGGGAAGGACCAUUUAACAAGAAGCUUGCAAGGACUUUCCAAAAUUUUGAUUACAAUCCAGGUUUUAUUUAUGCAUCAUGGUGGCGCCUGUAUGGAACUGAAGUACCAGCCUUACAAAAGAUGGCAACAAGGAUCCUUUCUUUAACAUCAAGUGCAUCUGGCUGUGAAAGAAACUGGAGCGGUUUUGAAGCGAUACACACUAAGAGGAGAAAUAGGCUUACUACAACACGUCUCAACAAAUUAGUCUACAUUCAAUUCAACUCCAAGCUGCUUAAUAGGAGAGAA